rnacentral:rRNA from 1 species
UACGUAGGGUCCGAGCGUUGUCCGGAAUUACUGGGCGUAAAGAGCUCGUAGGUGGUUUGUCGCGUUGUCCGUGAAAACUCACAGCUCAACUGUGGGCGUGCGGGCGAUACGGGCAGACUGGAGUACUGCAGGGGAGACUGGAAUUCCUGGUGUAGCGGGUGGAAUGCGCAGAUAUCAGGAGGAACACCGGUGGCGAAGGCAGGUCUCUGGGCCACUACUGACGCUGAGAAAGCGAAAGCAUGGGGGAGCGAACAGG